AUACAGAGGGUGCAAGCGUUAAUCGGAAUUACUGGGCGUAAAGCGCGCGUAGGCGGUUUGAUAAGUCGGAUGUGAAAUCCCUGGGCUCAACCUGGGAACUGCAUUCGAAACUGUCUGACUAGAGUAUGGUAGAGGGUGGUGGAAUUCCUAGUGUAGCGGUGAAAUGCGUAGAUAUUAGGAGGAACAUCAGUGGCGAAGGCGACCACCUGGACCAAUACUGACGCUGAGGUGCGAAAGCGUGGGGAGCAAACAGGAUUAGAAACCCUUGUAGUCC
rnacentral:rRNA from 1 species